GACAGAGGCCUCAAGCGUUAGGCGGAAUCACUGGGCUUAAAGCGUGUGUAGGCGGGUCGUUAAGUACCUUGUGAAAUCCCACGGCUCACCCGUGGAACUGCUGGGUAUACUGGCGAUCUUGGGCCAACUAGGGGCAACUGGAACAAGCGGUGGAGCGGUGAAAUGCGUAGAGAUCCGGAAGAACACCGGUGGCGAAGGCGGUCUGCUGGGCCAAGACUGACGCUGAGGCGCGACAGCGUGGGGAGCAAACAGG
rnacentral:rRNA from 1 species